rnacentral:misc_RNA from 1 species
GGAAAAAAAAUUGUUUAAAUUACCAACAAUUUUAAAAUUCGUUGACAAUUUAUUGACGAAUUAUAAAAUCUAGUAGUAAUUUUUGAGACAAAAAAUAAUUAAUUUUAUUUUACUAAUAGAUUUCAAAUCUAUAAAUAUAUUAUCAACGAAUUUUGAAAUCUGUUAAUAAAUUUCAUAUGAAAAAAUCCCUCCUUUCCUUUUCAAAAGCUAGCCUUUUUUUUAUUUGCCAACGUAUUAACAACAAAUUUUCCGUUUGUUAAAAUUCAUUGUAUUAAUAUAUUUUUUCUCAACAUAUUAUCAAUAUAUUUUUUCU